GACAGAGGUGCCAAGCGUUAGGCGGAAUCACUGGGCUUAAAGCGUGUGUAGGCGGAUCGUUAAGUACCUUGUGAAAUCCCACGGCUUAACCGUGGAACUGCUCGGUAUACUGGCGGUCUUGAGCAACCUAGGGGCGAGCGGAACAAAGGUGGAGCGGUGAAAUGCGUAGAUAUCAUUUGGAACGCCAAUGGUGAAAACAGCUCGCUGGGGGUUUGCUGACGCUGAGACACGAAAGCCAGGGGAGCAAACGGGG
rnacentral:rRNA from 1 species